CUGCUGCCUUCCGUAGGAGUCUGGGCCGUGUCUCAGUCCCAAUGUGGCCGGCCAACCUCUCAGUCCGGCUACUGAUCGUCGCCUUGGUGGGCCGUUGCCCCACCAACUAGCUAAUCAGACGCGAGUCCAUCUCAGAGCGAUAAAUCUUUGACGUCCAGUGCCAUGCGACACAGACGUUUUAUGCGGUAUUAGCAGCUGUUUCCAGCUGUUAUUCCCCACUCCAAGGCAGGUUACUCACGCG
rnacentral:rRNA from 1 species